GAUGAACGCUGGCGGCGUGCCUAAUACAUGCAAGUCGAACGCAUUGUGGUUGAAAUGAUAUGAAGAACUUGUUCAGAUUUGAUUUUCAACAUUGCAAUGAGUGGCGAACGGGUGAGUAACACGUGGGAAACCUACCUCUUAGCAGGGGAUAACAUUUGGAAACAAAUGCUAAUACCGUAUAAUAAUUAAAACCGCAUGGUUUUAGUUUAAAAGAUGGUCUUGCUAUCACUAAGAGAUGGUCCCGCGGUGUAUUAGUUAGUUGGUGAGGUAAUGGCUCACCAAGACAAUGAUACAUAGCCGAGUUGAGAGACUGACCGGCCACAAUGGGACUGAGACACGGCCCAUACUCCUACGGGAGGCAGCAGUAGGGAGUCUUCCACAAUGGACGAAAGUCUGAUGGAGCAACGCCGCGUGUGUGAUGAAGGGUUUCGGCUCGUAAAACACUGUUGUAAGAGAAGAAUGACAUUGAGAGCAACUGUUCAAUGUGUGACGGUA
rnacentral:rRNA from 1 species